rnacentral:tRNA from 1 species
GCCCAUGUAGCUUAGCUUAGAAGAGCGUUGGUUUUCUCAUCAAAGGUGUCGGUGCAAGUCCGUCCGGGGGCA